UUUGUAUGAGAGAAAAGUCUAACAAAUAGCCUGUAAACUAACAUAUUUCAAGGAAACUUCCAGCUGGUUUCUGCUUAAUUUUUUCAUUCCAGUUUGUCUUCCAACUAGUUUCUGUCCAACUUGCCCCCCGGCAGGCCACUCAAUCCAAGUGUUUUAUGAGCUACAGGCACACAGGAUCAAGGAGAAAUCCAAACGUGUGACCUCACUCCUUCGCCUGAGAUGGCUGAUGCACAGCUACUUUCCUCAGGUCCCAUCUUCCCUGAGUGGCCCAUCUCGCCUUUAAGCCCCAUCUCUCCUGGCACUCCUGGGGAAGAAAAGGCAGUAGGACAGCAGUGGAUGAGAAGAGGAGGAACACAUGGAGAGAACUAAUCGUUUUUCAGACAAAUGAUCUCUGCGAGCCCUGAGGCUGUUUUCCAACAAUCACUGCAUAGUUUUGUUCCUGCAACUGAUGCCGCCUCUGCUAUCGGAGGAGAGAAUGCUGAUUGUGGAGCGAAGACAGUCCAUCACAAAGUGUUGAAAGUGAUCCAUAUUGAUUGUUUGUUAUUACUUCUGAUCAGACUUGUUGUCAUCACAAUGUCUGUCACAUAUUACAAACCUUCUCUGCU